CACGAACCGGCGCUAAAAAAAGGUGUCCACGAACCAGUACCAGCUGAAAAAAAAAAAACUCAGCCCUUCCCCUCUCCAAGCGCGCAUUCCCUCGAUCUGCUCGCCUCCGGUAAAGCGGCCGCCGUUCACCCUCUCUAUCAACGUGCCCUGCUUGAGUUGCUUCCGGCGGUCCGACUCCAUCGCCAGCAGGCCCCAUCUAGGGUUCGCCGUCUGGUAGGUUCCCUCCACCGGCCGGCCGCCAGGCCCUCCGUCUCUCCGGCAGACGGCACCAAGAAGGCAAGAGCCGCCACCGCACGCACGCAGCCUGUGUAUGUGAAAGACUUUUUUUUUUUGCCCUCUGAUCCGUGAUGGUCCUGGGCAUCAGAGUUCAAAUUAAUACUUAAAUCAAGGUGGAUUCUGUAGCACAGGAGGCUGCAGAGGCGAGCAGGUGCUUCUUGCUGAACGAGCCGAGUGGAUGUGCUCUUUCCUAAGGCCAUAAUCUGUUCAGGUAGCUGCUCUUUCUAAAGGGACCACAUCUCAUCUGAUUCAAAGAGAUAAGCGCAUGUGGUAGACACCGCAGCAAGUUGAAGAACCAACACUAGCAAGUAGCAACAUGUGAAGAAGAAACAGUAUAUGGCACUCUGAACACUUAACUGUUCAAGGCAUCAUUACAUCCACUCCGAACCGCUGACCUUUCUCGAAUGUCUUAUUUCUCCAUGAAGUUAUGGGGAUAAUACCAUUUCAUUCAUGUACCGACGACGACCUUAUUUGUUAGUAUGCCCAUAGCUGUUUCCUUUUCUUUUUGAAAAACAAGGUAUAUACAGAGCAGAGCAAGAUUAUUUCAUGCAGUUAGCCAUUGGUCUGUCUGAAUGGUGAGCUAUUUCAGAAACAAUGAACAAUGGUAGAGCACACCGUGUCAAACUCUUAGUAUCA